rnacentral:siRNA from 1 species
AUACGUACAUUGACGGGUUAUCUA